UAUGGAGGGUGCGAGCGUUGUCCGGAAUCACUGGGCGUAAAGGGCGCGUAGGCGGCGCGGGCAGUCAACGGUGAAAGCUUGGGGCUCAACCCCGAGUCGGCCGUCGAUACUCCCGGGCUGGAGCACUGUAGAGGCAGGUGGAAUUCCGGGUGUAGCGGUGGAAUGCGUAGAGAUCCGGAAGAACAUCGGUGGCGAAGGCGCUCUGCUGGACCAUAACUGACACUCAGGGACGAAAGCUAGGGGAGCGAAUGGG
rnacentral:rRNA from 1 species